rnacentral:tRNA from 1 species
GGGAUGUUCAAUUUGAUAUAAGAGGCUGCUAACUUCUUUUAGAGUAACUAAAAAUUAUUCACAUCUCU